UUGCAAAGCGAAAAUGUGUAAGUGAUACGCAAGAUGUUGAAUGCGACGUCAUUUCUAUUCUCUGAGUAAUUUGAGAAGAAGUGAAAUCGUCUGAAGAUUAUAAGAUGAUAUUUACAAUGAAAAGCUGUUUCAUUGCAGUAAUGAUCAAUACUGUUAAAAGUAGUUCAGUUAAUUAUAAGUUACAACUAAGCAUUUUCAAAUCUAGCUUUUAGAUUCAGAAGAAGAUCUGCUUUUGGAUUACUGGUGUUGCAGAGAAUCCAAGAUUUAGGCUUGAGUCACAACCUUUUUUCAUUGCUGCCCAUAGAAAAUAUAUUAUGGGUGGCAGAGAUUGAGCGUAGUCUUCAAAAAGAGCGACAGUUUCUACCAAACAUCCGCAAAACGUGUUCUACAUUAGCCUUAUGUCCACAAAUAAUUUUGAUAAAAUCUUUCCAUUUUGAUUGCCUUACCUAAUAAUAACAUUUAUGAUAUAAGUUUCAAUAAAUUGGAUGAUUUUAUCAUUGUUAUGCACGUGUAAGUGCUACUGAAGAAAUCGCUUUUAAAACAAGUUCAUAGUUAUGAAGUUAUAAAAAUGAAAACGAUAUUUGAUGUAUGAUAUUAAAAAUAUCUUUUUCUA